rnacentral:rRNA from 1 species
GACGAACGCUGGCGGCGUGCCUAAUACAUGCAAGUCGAGCGGACUUAUUCUUUCGGGGAUAAGUUAGCGGCGGACGGGUGAGUAACACGUAGGCAACCUGCCUGUAAGAUCGGGAUAACUAUCGGAAACGAUAGCUAAGACCGAAUAACUGGUUCCGGCGCAUGUUGGGAUCAUGAAACACGGAGCAAUCUGUGGCUUAUAGAUGGGCCUGCGGCGCAUUAGCUAGUAGGUGAGGUAAUGGCUCACCUAGGCGACGAUGCGUAGCCGACCUGAGAGGGUGAACGGCCACACUGGGACUGAGACACGGCCCAGACUCCUACGGGAGGCAGCAGUAGGGAAUCUUCCGCAAUGGACGCAAGUCUGACGGAGCAACGCCGCGUGAGUGAUGAAGGUUUUCGGAUCGUAAAGCUCUGUUGCCAAAGACGAACAGCUAGGAGAGUAACUAAUCUUAGCCUGACGGUAUUUGAG